rnacentral:rRNA from 1 species
CCUACGGGUGGCAGCAGUGAGGAAUAUUGGUCAAUGGACGCAAGUCUGAACCAGCCAUGCCGCGUGCAGGAAGAAGGCUCUAUGAGUUGUAAACUGCUUUUGUACGAGGGUAAACGCAGAUACGCGUAUCUGUCUGAAAGUAUCGUACGAAUAAGGAUCGGCUAACUCCGUGCCAGCAGCCGCGGUAAUACGGAGGAUUCAAGCGUUAUCCGGAUUUAUUGGGGUUAAAGGGUGCGUAGGCGGUCGGAUAAGUUAGAGGUGAAAUCCCGAGGCUCAACUUCGGAAUUGCCUUUGAUACUGUUCGUCUAGAGAGUAGUUGCGGUAUGCGGAAUGUAUGGUGUAGCGGUGAAAUGCUUAGAGAUCAUACAGAACACCGAUUGCGAAGGCAGCUUACCAAGCUACUUCUGACGUUGAGGCACGAAAGCGUGGGGAGCAAACAGGAUUAGAUACCCGGGUAGUC